rnacentral:lncRNA from 1 species
UCACAGGUGGGUGAGCUUGGGUGCUUCCUGAAUUCUUCCCUGAGAAGGAUGGUGGCCGGUAAGGUCCGUGUAGGUGGGGUGCGGCUCCGGGGGAGGUGAGUUAGACCAAAGAGGGCUGGCCCGGAGUUGCUCAUGGGCUCCACAUAGCUGCCCCCCACGAAGACGGGGCUUCCCUGUAUGAAGUGGAACUCUUUCUCCAGCUCCACCAGCUGCGCGCUCGUGUAGGCCGUGCGCGCGCGCUUGGACGAAGCCUGCCCCGGCGGGCUCUUGUCGCCAGC